GACGAACGCUGGCGGCGUGCCUAAUACAUGCAAGUAGAACGCUGAAGGAGGAGCUUGCUUCUCUGGAUGAGUUGCGAACGGGUGAGUAACGCGUAGGUAACCUGCCUGGUAGCGGGGGAUAACUAUCGGAAACGAUAGCUAAUACCGCAUAAGAGUAGAUGUUGCAUGACAUUUGCUUAAAAGGUGCAAUUGCAUCACUACCAGAUGGACCUGCGUUGUAUUAGCUAGUUGGUGGGGUAACGGCUCACCAAGGCGACGAUACAUAGCCGACCUGAGAGGGUGAUCGGCCACACUGGGACUGAGACACGGCCCAGACUCCUACGGGAGGCAGCAGUAGGGAAUCUUCGGCAAUGGACGGAAGUCUGACCGAGCAACGCCGCGUGAGUGAAGAAGGUUUUCGGAUCGUAAAGCUCUGUUGUAAGAGAAGAACGAGUGUGAGAGUGGAAAGUUCACACUGUGACGGUAUCUUACCAGAAAGGGACGGCUAACUACGUG
rnacentral:rRNA from 1 species